rnacentral:rRNA from 1 species
UACGAAGGGUGCAAACGUUGCUCGGAAUUAUUGGGGCGUAAAGCGCACGUAGGCGGCUUUGCAAGUCGGAUGUGAAAUCCCUCGGCUUAACCAAGGAAGUGCAUCCGAAACUGCAGAGCUUGAGUACUUAAGAGGAUCGCGGAAUUCCCGGUGUAGAGGUGAAAUUCGUAGAUAUCGGGAGGAACACCAGUGGCGAAGGCGGCGAUCUGGGAAGAUACUGACGCUGAGGUGCGAAAGCGUGGGGAGCAAACAGG